rnacentral:rRNA from 1 species
GAGCAGGUACGAAAGUAGGUCAUAGUGAUCCGGUGGUUCUGUAUGGAAGGGCCAUCGCUCAACGGAUAAAAGGUACUCCGGGGAUAACAGGCUGAUACCGCCCAAGAGUUCACAUCGACGGCGGUGUUUGGCACCUCGAUGUCGGCUCAUCACAUCCUGGGGCUGAAGUCGGUCCCAAGGGAAUGGCUGUUCGCCCUUUA